ACAUGGGAGUCCUUUAGUUUAGGACUAUUUGGUCAGAAACAUCUUUUAGUUGGGGUUUAACACUAUAGAUUAAAGGCGUGCUCCACCACGCCCGGAGAGUUUUUGAAAACAGAUUUAUGUAUAUGUGGGUGUUUGCCACCAGUGUUUAUUGGAUUUCUGAGGAGGCCAUAAGAGUAUCUAGUCCUUUGGAGCUGAAGUUACAGUCUACAUGAGGUACCUUUAUGUAGCUGUAGGUGCUAAGAACUGAACAUGAGUCCUUUUGUUUUGGUUGGUUGGUUUGGUUUUGGUGUUUUAAUCAAGACAGGCUUUCUCUUGGUAGUUCCUGGCUGUCCUGGAACUCACUCUGUACAGCAGGCUGGCCUCAGACUCCUAUGCCUUUGCCUCCUAAGUGCUGGGAUUAAAGGCCAUGUGUACACUGCCUGACUUUUAAGUUCUUGAGAUGCUAAUCUUUCUCUUCACCCCAGCAUCCUAAAUCCUAUUUUCCCCCAAUUAUUUCAAGUAAGACC
rnacentral:lncRNA from 1 species